UGUUCCCUGGUGUGCUCGCCAGCGAGGCAAUGUCCCUGAGCCGAUGCUUUAAACCCCGGGGGCGAAGAUGGCGCAUCUGUGUGCAAGUCCGCUGCGGCGGGAAGCCUGAAGAAUCGCCUGACGCCUCCACCUUGAACCGCAGGGUUCAAGGGCUACGCCAUAGCAGCGGCACAAUCGGGGAGCAC
rnacentral:other from 1 species